rnacentral:misc_RNA from 1 species
GAUAGCUUUUUCACCAUCUGAUAUCAUGGAAAAGUAUAAGGAUGCUGUGUUAUUACCUAAGUGGAAGGCAUUCCAGACACUCAUAUUUCUUGAACGGGAUGAUGGUCUCCAUGAUUCAAAUAAAAUUCCUGCAUUUGAUUUUGAUGGAUGUCUUGCAAAAACCUCUGUUAAGAGAGUUGGUGCAGAUGCGUGGUCCCUUAUGUAUCCCUCAAUACCAGACAAACUGCAAAGCUUAUAUAAUGAUGGCUACAAGCUGGUUAUCUUCACAAAUGAAUCUAACAUUGAUCGCUGGAAGAACAAAAGACAGAUAGCUGUGGACUCAAAAGUUGGACGCCUCAACAACUUCAUUGAGCAUGUGAAGGUUCCAAUUCAGGUUUUUAUAGCUUGUGGGUAUUCUCAUGGUAACAUGGAAGAUCCAUUUCGCAAGCCUAAACCUGGAAUGUGGUGGAUUAUGGAGAAACAUUUUAACUCUGGCAUUUCAAUCGAUAUGGAUAAUUCCUUUUAUGUUGGGGAUGCAGCAGGGCGGAGAAUUGAUGAUCAUAGUGAUACUGACAUAAAAUUUGCUCAGGCCAUUGGAUUGAAGUUCUUUGUCCCUGAUGAUUACUUCGGUAAAUAAAAAAUCUUGGUAAGCAUCUCCUGGUGGCUGGUGCACGAGUUUCUAGCAGAGGUCCAGAUCAGAAUUUACUCAUCUAUGAUUGUCUGAUGUAUCUAAUUAUCAUACUUCUGAUUUGUUACUCGAAGUGAAUCUGGAUCUGAUAUGCUUUGGAUUAAUUCAUAUCAAGAUUUUUUAUUUACCGAAGUAAUCAU